AAACAGAUAUAAAAUUUUCAUACGACAUUCAUACGAGUAAAAUUAUAUCUUGACAUUAAAUAUAGUCAUGAAUUACGUUCGAUAAGCAAAUAUUGCUUAUAUAAUUGAUUGUUUUAAUGUUCACGUUCAAGUAUAUAAGUACAUAUGAGUUCAGAUUUAAUAAAAGAACGUAGGUUCGAAAGAAGGUGUCGAAAAGAAACAUGAAAAGUGUGAAAUUAUUCAUCGGGAGGGUUACCCUCACAUUAGUAUUUAUUUAUAUUGCUAUGGUUGUAUCUGCUCCUGAUGCAAAUGAGGACAUCGACUUAUAUCUACGAGACGUUAUGUAAUAUAACUGAAACGAGGAUUGUUUGAUCAUAUUUGAUGAUUUAUAUAUAUUGUUAUCCAUUUGUAGACUUAAAAAUGUAAUAAAUGUAGUUAGAGUGAAAUUUUUUAAA